UCUGCUCCCACACACAUAGAUAUGAGCCAGGAAUAGCUCCACUAACACUUAGAUUUGAAUCCAGUCCCAAGCACAGCUGCCCGAUGCCUUUUUAUGAUAAAAAUCUCUGAGACGUUGUCAUGCAGGUGGACUGGUACCACGGUUCAGAACAAAAGGGCAAACUGGGGCUGGCUAAACUUACAGCAGGAGAAGUGGAUAUGACCAACAGUGUUCUGCUAAGGAGAGACCUCUCAAGACAAUGAGCUUUCCGAAGGUGCGCCAGCCCUGUUUGGUCUGGAUCAGCUGGGUAAGUCCAUGUGGAAUACAUUUUCCUCUUUUUUUCUUUUUUCUCUGCACCCAAUAGAGUAAU
rnacentral:lncRNA from 1 species